rnacentral:rRNA from 1 species
CAGGCUUAACACAUGCAAGUCGAGGGGCAGCAUGGUCUUAGCUUGCUAAGGCCGAUGGCGACCGGCGCACGGGUGAGUAACACGUAUCCAACCUGCCGUCUACUCUUGGACAGCCUUCUGAAAGGAAGAUUAAUACAAGAUGGCAUCAUGAGUCCGCAUGUUCACAUGAUUAAAGGUAUUCCGGUAGACGAUGGGGAUGCGUUCCAUUAGAUAGUAGGCGGGGUAACGGCCCACCUAGUCUUCGAUGGAUAGGGGUUCUGAGAGGAAGGUCCCCCACAUUGGAACUGAGACACGGUCCAAACUCCUACGGGAGGCAGCAGUGAGGAAUAUUGGUCAAUGGGCGCAGGCCUGAACCAGCCAAGUAGCGUGAAGGAUGACUGCCCUAUGGGUUGUAAACUUCUUUUAUAAAGGAAUAAAGUCGGGUAUGGAUACCCGUUUGCAUGUACUUUAUGAAUAAGGAUCGGCUAACUCCGUGCCAGCAGCCGCGGUAAUACGGAGGAUCCGAGCGUUAUCCGGAUUUAUUGGGUUUAAAGGGAGCGUAGAUGGAUGUUUAAGUCAGUUGUGAAAGUUUGCGGCUCAACCGUAAAAUUGCAGUUGAUACUGGAUAUCUUGAGUGCAGUUGAGGCAGGCGGAAUUCGUGGUGUAGCGGUGAAAUGCUUAGAUAUCACGAAGAACUCCGAUUGCGAAGGCAGCCUGCUAAGCUGCAACUGACAUUGAGGCUCGAAAGUGUGGGUAUCAAACAGGAUUAGAUACCCUGGUAGUCCACACGGUAAACGAUGAAUACUCGCUGUUUGCGAUAUACUGCAAGCGGCCAAGCGAAAGCGUUAAGUAUUCCACCUGGGGAGUACGCCGGCAACGGUGAAACUCAAAGGAAUUGACGGGGGCCCGCACAAGCGGAGGAACAUGUGGUUUAAUUCGAUGAUACGCGAGGAACCUUACCCGGGCUUAAAUUGCAGAUGAAUUACGGUGAAAGCCGUAAGCCGCAAGGCAUCUGUGAAGGUGCUGCAUGGUUGUCGUCAGCUCGUGCCGUGAGGUGUCGGCUUAAGUGCCAUAACGAGCGCAACCCUUGUUGUCAGUUACUAACAGGUUCCGCUGAGGACUCUGACAAGACUGCCAUCGUAAGAUGUGAGGAAGGUGGGGAUGACGUCAAAUCAGCACGGCCCUUACGUCCGGGGCUACACACGUGUUACAAUGGGGGGUACAGAGGGCCGCUACCACGCGAGUGGAUGCCAAUCCCAAAAACCUCUCUCAGUUCGGACUGGAGUCUGCAACCCGACUCCACGAAGCUGGAUUCGCUAGUAAUCGCGCAUCAGCCACGGCGCGGUGAAUACGUUCCCGGGCCUUGUACACACCGCCCGUCAAGCCAUGGGAGCCGGGGGUACCUGAAGUGCGUAACCGCGAGGAGCGCCCUAGGGUAAAACUGGUGACUGGGGCUAAGUC